UACGUAGGGUGCAAGCGUUAAUCGGAAUUACUGGGCGUAAAGCGUGCGCAGGCGGUUAUGCAAGACAAAGGUGAAAUCCCCGGGCUCAACCUGGGAACUGCCUUUGUGACUGCAUAGCUAGAGUACGGUAGAGGGGGAUGGAAUUCCGCGUGUAGCAGUGAAAUGCGUAGAUAUGCGGAGGAACACCGAUGGCGAAGGCAAUCCCCUGGACCUGUACUGACGCUCAUGCACGAAAGCGUGGGGAGCAAACAGG
rnacentral:rRNA from 1 species